UUUGCCAGAAUGGGAACUCAGUAAUGCCUGGAGUUUUAUUUGUCACUGAAUUACUCUUUAAUUGGAACUGAUUGCCUGAGCUGCUGUUUGUAACUGCAGCACUCUCUCUACUCAGUUGAGGGGGAAACCUUUAACAUCCCCACCAACAGGGCUGCAAUGUUUGCUGUGACAGACUGCAAGAUACUGAAAUCCAUCCCUGGGUAGAGAGAGAUUUAAUAUGCAUCGUUUUGUCCUAGUGGGUUAGAAAAACCUACUGACUGGUGGUGUCGCAUCAUCUCUAGACUGAUAAUAGCAGCAGGCUUGGUUUGUGCUGGUAGCAGGCUGUAAAGGGAUGAGCAGCAGUCUUAUAAACACAAUGUCAAGUAACAUAUAUCAGCAAUUUGCUGUGUAUUUGUUUCCUGUACCUCUGCCCCAUGGAGGGCACUGACCUUAACACAAAAUAAUAAGGUUAACAGAGACAGUUUGGGAAAUCUUCUCCAAACCUGCUAGAUUCCCAUCUCCUGAGGGCCUGAAGAUUAAAUGGCUACUGGAGAGCCAGAAAAGCUGGAGGUUUGUUGAAAUAGUGUUUAGCACCAACAGUCUGAUAAUUAUAAAGGGCUGGAAGAGACUGUGGUAGGGGACAUGUACAACUGCGACAACCAGCAACAACAGUCGGGGGAAGAAUAGGAGGAAAAUGUAUGGCAUCUAUGGAAGAGGUGCAAACAAAUGUACCACUGCUGCUACACUCUUACUUUUCUGUUGAUUCCAGGUGAUACCUGAGCCAGUGGGAUGGGGACUUAAAGCACUGCAAACUUCUUAGAAUAGUAUCUUCAAUUGCUGUUGUCUAU